CCGAGUGGAUGGACCGGCGGUUCACCCUCGUCGACACCGGCGGCUGGGAGCACGACGCCAAGGGCAUCGAUCGUUCCGUCGCCGCGCAGGCC
rnacentral:tRNA from 1 species